rnacentral:rRNA from 1 species
GAUUAACGCUGGCGGCGUGCCUAACACAUGCAAGUCGAACGAGGUAGCAAUACCUAGUGGCAGACGGGUGAGUAACGCGUGGUCAACCUACCGUUGAGUGGGGGAUAACUAGCCGAAGGUUAGCUAAUACCGCAUACGUCUCCGAGGGGCAUCCCUUGGCGAUAAAAGGAAGCAAUCCGCUCGAUGACGGGACCGCGUCCCAUUAGCUAGAU